rnacentral:tRNA from 1 species
GCAUUGGUGGUUCAGUGGCAGAAUUUUCACCUUCCAUAUGAGAGACUUGGCUUUGAUUCUCAGCCAACGUA